GCCCAGACUCCUACGGGAGGCAGCAGUGGGGAAUAUUGCACAAUGGGGGGAACCCUGAUGCAGCGACGCCGCGUGAGUGAAGAAGUAUUUCGGUAUGUAAAGCUCUAUCAGCAGGGAAGAAAAUGACGGUACCUGACUAAGAAGCCCCGGCUAACUACGUGCCAGCAGCCGCGGUAAUACGUAGGGGGCAAGCGUUAUCCGGAUUUACUGGGUGUAAAGGGAGCGUAGACGGCAGAGCAAGUCUGAAGUGAAAGCCCGCGGCUCAACCGCGGGGCUGCAUUGGGAACUGGCGCGCUGGAGUGCCGGAGGGGUAGGCGGAAUUCCUAGUGUAGCGGUGAAAUGCGUAGAUAUUAGGAAGAACACCAGUGGCGAAGGCGGCUUUCUGGACUGAAACUGACGCUGAGGCACGAAAGCGUGGGGAGCGAACAGGAUUAGAUACCCCUGUAC
rnacentral:rRNA from 1 species